rnacentral:rRNA from 1 species
AUUGAACGCUGGCGGCAGGCCUAACACAUGCAAGUCGAGCGGAUGAAGGGAGCUUGCUCCUGGAUUCAGCGGCGGACGGGUGAGUAAUUCCUAGGAAUCUGCCUGGUAUUUGGGGAUAACGUCCGUAAACGGGCGCUAAUACCGCAUACGUCCUGAUGUAGAAAGUGGGGGAUCUUCGGACCUCACGCUAUCAGAUGAGCCUAGGUCGGAUUAGCUAGUUGGUGGGGUAAAGGCCUACCAAGGCGACGAUCCGUAACUGGCCUGAGAGGAUGAUCAGUCACACUGGAACUGAGACACGGUCCAGACUCCUACGGGAGGCAGCAGUGGGGAAUCUUGGACAAUGGGCGAAAGCCUGAUCCAGCCAUGCCGCGUGUGUGAAGAAGGUCUUCGGAUUGUAAAGCACUUUAAGUUGGGAGGAAGGGAAGUAAGUUAAUCCAUUGCUGUUUUGACGUUACCAACAGAAUAAGCCCCGGCUAACUUCGUG